CAGAAGACUCCCUACCCCCGGCAAACAAUAAGGUGACCAGCAAGUCGUGUGAGUACAACGGGACCACUUACCAACACGGUGAGCUGUUCGUGGCUGAAGGGCUCUUUCAGAACCGGCAACCCAAUCAGUGUACCCAGUGCAGCUGUUCGGAGGGGAAUGUGUACUGCGGUCUCAAGACUUGCCCCAAGUUAACCUGUGCAUUCCCAGUCUCUGUUCCGGAUUCCUGUUGCCGGGUGUGCAGAGGGGAUGGAGAAUUGUCGUGGGAACAUUCUGAUGGUGAUAUCUUCCGGCAACCUGCCAACAGAGAAGCA